rnacentral:rRNA from 1 species
UACGUAGGGUGCGAGCGUUAAUCGGAAUACUGGGCGUAAAGCGUGCGCAGGCGGCGCGUUAAGACAGGUGUGAAAGCCCCGAGCUUAACUUGGGAAUUGCGCUUGUGACUGGCGUGCUGGAGUGUGGCAGAGGGAGGUGGAAUUCCACGUGUAGCAGUGAAAUGCGUAGAGAUGUGGAGGAACACCGAUGGCGAAGGCAGCCUCCUGGGCCAGCACUGACGCUCAUGCACGAAGCGUGGGAGCAACAG